CAGAAAUCUCCUUCUUUAGGAUGUUCUAAUGGGUUUUACAUCUAAUGCCCUUUCAGUUUACUUGUCUAACUAGAUAAAAGUUUUGAUAGAAAUUUUAAUUUGUAAAGUUGCUGAUGGCUCAGAAAAGUAUGGAGAAUGUAGUAUCAUCCAUUUUAUGCAUUUCUUUUUCUUCAGCCAUUACUAUUGUAAGGAUUCUACAAAAAGAGGAAUUUUGUUUGUUCCAAGAGGUCAUCUGCUUCUUCUCCUUAUUCCUCAUCUGAAAUGAAUGAUGUCAGAAUCCAGAGAUGUAAGAUGAAUUUUCCUAGCCAAUUUCCAAUCUGAAAGGCUCCAAAAUAGAACAGCAAUAUUUGACUCCAUCUAAACUCCAUUCCACAGCUUCAGCAGAGAGGCCCAGUCCUGCAAUUUUAGCCCUCUGGCCUCCAAUGGAAGUUUUACCUGGAUAAGUGGAAUAAAAACAGGACCAUAGGUAUCUACUUUAUGAGCAGAGAAUAGCAGGAGGAAAAUGAAGUAUAACUGAGACAAGCACAAAAACCACUAAUGGCUAUAGAUUCCAUGCCAUCAGAAAAAAAAUAUAGGGAGCAGUUUUCCACAGGAACAUCUCGACAGCAGUGGCCAGUAAUGAAAUCGGAAUACAGCAAGCAGAAUAACUCCUCUGAGACCCAAUGGGAUCCAAGAGCAACAAUAAACAAUUACAGCUUGAUGGAGCGCCUUCUUGCCAUGCAAGGAAUCCUGAUCUCUACAAUACUGUCUUCAAAUGAGGGA
rnacentral:lncRNA from 1 species